UAGACGCCCGGGAGGUCGGAAAGGAAAGAACGCAUUCUGCCCUUCCAGGCUGGGGGGAGGGGGGACCGGGCCCAAGUUCUCAUCACUUCCCCCCGUCGCCGCUCCCCCUCCCCAAGCCGCCAGCCCCUGCGUCAUCUCCCUCUGCACCCCGUCCCGACGCGCGCCCCCGCCCGCUGCCCUUCCCCCGCCAUCCAGCCCCGGGUGGCUGCCAAGUGGGGGGUUCGGGGUAGCGGAACUCCCGGGCUGGGCGCAGGAAACCCGGGUGGGGAGAUGCGGUCCCAGAUUCGGGGCACGUGCACACGGGGGAAGACGCUGUUGGAAAGACAGCCGAGAGGUUUCUCUCCUCUCCUCCCGGCUCCUACGGCCCCCUCCCAUCUUCGAACAGCCGCCUUCCCGCACGAGCCACGACAAAGUUUUGCCUCCGUUCGUCAGAGCUACUGGAAGAAAAGAACCAAUGGAUGAUAAAAAAAAUAACUAGAAAAUUAUGGGUAGUAGUGAUGGAAAUUCACUGUAAGCUCACAUAACCCCCUUUUGAUAAAAAAUAAAUCGAACCAUUUAUUUCUCCCUCCAGCCCCCAUAGGUCUACAGGCACUCACAACAAACCUGCCAGCAGGCUCACUGUCUUCGUGGAUGGAGGCCUGGAAACCGCAGCAGCUGUACUAAAUGAGCUGAAUUGCAAGCCAAAAUGCUCUAGUGUUCCUUGGUUCCCUGUAUGUACUUUAUUUCCUUACUAAGAGUGGCCACUGCAUUUGCAGCCCGGUAGUUCUGCGCUGGGGAACACUGGAAUUGUGGCUGACUCCCCAAGGGCCGUGCUAGACGCCCACCCGGACUCUUCACUCUCAGAGAACUGUGUACGGAAUGGGUCAUGGGUUCUUAACCCUCUCAGUUAGUUAGGCUUUUUAGGCCGUGACUCACAUGGAAGCCAUGAACUGUGAAAACUAGUAAAGGAAAUUUCAAUUACAAAUGGAGACGGGAAUGUCUCUAGAGGGGGCUCUCAUGCCCUGAACAAGAAGAGAUGACCUUGCACCUCUAACAGGAAGUGCCUCUACUUCACUCCCGCAUAAGGGGAAGGAAGAUUUUCUUCUCGCCCAGCAACAAGCCCAGCCAAGGGAAAAAGUGCUGUUCAGCCAAUGAACAGCCAUUGUCACCCUGAACUCUUACUUUCCUCCAAUGAACUUGCACUUUACUUUUCUAAUGAUGUCUUUGACCCACCUCCUUCCUUAGAAAAGACUUCCAUUUAAAAAAAUUAUUUUUUCAA